rnacentral:rRNA from 1 species
GAUGAACGCUGGCGGCGUGCCUAAUACAUGCAAGUCGAGCGAACAGACGAGGAGCUUGCUCCUCUGACGUUAGCGGCGGACGGGUGAGUAACACGUGGAUAACCUACCUAUAAGACUGGGAUAACUUCGGGAAACCGGAGCUAAUACCGGAUAAUAUAUUGAACCGCAUGGUUCAAUAGUGAAAGACGGUUUUGCUGUCACUUAUAGAUGGAUCCGCGCCGCAUUAGCUAGUUGGUAAGGUAACGGCUUACCAAGGCAACGAUGCGUAGCCGACCUGAGAGGGUGAUCGGCCACACUGGAACUGACACACGGUCCAGACUCCUACGGGAGGCAGCAGUAGGGAAUCUUCCGCAAUGGGCGAAAGCUUGACGGAGCAACGCCGCGGGAGUGAUGAAGGUCUUCGGAUCGUAAAACGCUGUUAUUAGGGAAGAACAAAUGUGUAAGUAACUAUGCACGUCUGGACGGUACCUAAGCAGAAAGCCACGGCUAACUACGU